rnacentral:rRNA from 2 species
CAGGGAUUGCCUCAGUAACGGCGAGUGAAGCGGCAACAGCUCAAAUUUGAAAGCUGGCUUCUUUGGAGCCCGCGUUGUAAUUUGUAGAGGAUGCCUCGGGCACGGCGCCGGUCUAAGUUCUUUGGAACAGGACGUCAUGGAGGGUGAGAAUCCCGUAUGUGACUGGUGGCUUGUGCCUGUGUGAGGCUCCUUCGACGAGUCGAGUUGUUUGGGAAUGCAGCUCAAAAUGGGAGGUGUAUUUCUUCUAAAGCUAAAUACUGGCCAGAGACCGAUAGCGCACAAGUAGAGUGAUCGAAAGAUGAAAAGCACUUUGGAAAGAGGGUUAAACAGUACGUGAAAUUGUUGAAAGGGAAGCGCUUGCAAUCAGACUUGCACGGUGCCGAUCAUCCUGGGCUUGUCCCUGGUGUACUCGGUGCCGCCGCAGGCCAGCAUCAGUUUUGGUGGUGGGAUAAAGGCCUGGGGAACGUGGGUGGCUUCGGCCUCCGUUAUAGCCCCAGACGUCAUGCCGCCUGCCGGGACUGAGGAACGCGCUUCGGCGAGGAUGCUGGCGUAAUGGUUGCAAGCGACCCGUCUUGAAACACGGACCAAGGAGUCGAACAGCGGUGCGAGUGUUUGGGUGUCAAAACCCAUACGCGCAAUGAAAGUGAACGGAGGUGAGAGCCCUUCAGGGUGCAUCAUCGACCGGUCCUGAUGUCUUCGGAUGGAUCUGAGUAAGAGCAUUGCUGUUCGGACCCGAAAGAUGGUGAACUAUGCCUGAAUAGGGUGAAGCCAGGGGAAACCCUGGUGGAGGCUCGCAGCGGUUCUGACGUGCAAAUCGAUCGUCAAAUUUGGGUAUAGGGGCGAAAGACUAAUCGAACCAUCUAGUAGCUGGUUCACGCCGAAGUUUCCCUCAGGAUAGCAGUGUUGUAUUCAGUUUUAUGAGGUAAAGCGAAUGAUUAGAGGACUGGGGGUCGCAACGACCUUCACCUAUUCUCAAACUUUAAAUAUGUAAGAAGU